AACGAACGCUGGCGGCAGGCUUAACACAUGCAAGUCGAACGCCCCGCAAGGGGAGUGGCAGACGGGUGAGUAACGCGUGGGGAUCUACCCAGUUCUACGGAACAACUGAGGGAAACUUCAGCUAAUACCGUAUACGCCCUACGGGGGAAAGAUUUAUCGGAAUUGGAUGAGCCCGCGUUGGAUUAGCUAGUUGGUGAGGUAACGGCUCACCAAGGCGACGAUCCAUAGCUGGUCUGAGAGGAUGAUCAGCCACACUGGGACUGAGACACGGCCCAGACUCCUACGGGAGGCAGCAGUGGGGAAUAUUGGACAAUGGGCGCAAGCUUGAUCCAGCCAUGCCGCGUGAGUGAUGAAGGCCUUAGGGUUGUAAAGCUCUUUCAGUGGGGACGAUAAUGACGGUACCCUCAGAAGAAGCCCCGGCUAACUUCGUGCCAGCAGCCGCAGUAAAAC
rnacentral:rRNA from 1 species